GAACGCGAAGAACCUUACCAGGGCUUGACAUUUAGGUGAAGCGGCGGAAACGUCGUGGCCGAAAGGAGCCUAAACAGGUGGUGCAUGGCUGUCGUCAGCUCGUGUCGUGAGAUGUUAGGUUAAGUCCUGCAACGAGCGCAACCCUCGUCGUAUGUUGCCAGCGGUUAGGCCGGGCACCCAUACGAGACCGCCGGCGUCAAGCCGGAGGAAGGUGGGGACGACGUCAAGUCAUCAUGCCCCUUAUGUCCUGGGCUACACACGUGCUACAAUGGCCGGCACAAUGGGCUGCCAACCCGCGAGGGUGAGCGAAUCCCUAAAGCCGGUCCCAGUUCGGAUUGGAGGCUGCAACCCGCCUCCAUGAAGUCGGAGUUGCUAGUAAUCGCGGAUCAGCACGCCGCGGUGAAUGCGUUCCCGGGUCUUGUACACACC
rnacentral:rRNA from 1 species